rnacentral:lncRNA from 1 species
AACUACUAAGUCAAUACUGUCUAGCUACCAGGUAGGUAACCUUCCAUCAUCAUACAAAUUUGAAGCCGAAUUGCUCUGGUAUUUCCAGGAUUUUCUCCGUUUCCUGGAACCACCACUUGCGCAGUAGCAUUGUACGCAUUCGGCGGAUGAGUCGCUGUGAUAAUGCUCGGCUCAAACAGCGUAUCGCUACGCAAUCUUUGCAUGCCCAUAGGUUGUAUCAAGUGUCAAUAAUAGAAAAUAAGAACCCCAAAUAGCUUUUGAAAAUGGAGCUGCACAGAAAAAAGAAAAA